rnacentral:rRNA from 1 species
UAGGGAAUAUUGGACAAUGGGUGCGAGCCUGAUCCAGCCAUGCCGCGUGCAGGAAGAAGGCCUUCUGGGUUGUAAACUGCUUUUAUCUGGGGAUAAAAAGAGCGUGCGCGCUCAAUUGAAGGUACCAGAGGAAUAAGCCACGGCUAACUACGUGCCAGCAGCCGCGGUAAUACGUAGGUGGCAAGCGUUGUCCGGAUUUAUUGGGUUUAAAGGGUGCGUAGGCGGCUUUGUAAGUCAGCAGUGAAAUACGCCAGCUUAACUGGAGAGGUGCUGUUGAUACUGCGGAGCUUGAGUACUGAUGAGGUAGGCGGAAUGGACGGUGUAGCGGUGAAAUGCAUAGAUAUCGUCCAGAACACCGAUAGCGAAGGCAGCUUACUAAGGAGUAACUGACGCUGAGGCA